rnacentral:lncRNA from 1 species
CUGAGGGCUGAGCUGCAGGUAGAAGGGAGGCUUUGACUUCAGAGGUUCAGGCGGGGGUGCCUUCUCCACUCUCGCUGCCCCCCACCCUGGAAGCAGAGGCUUCUGAUCUCUUGCAGAGGAUCGCCAACGGCCCUGCCGUGCCAAGCGCCGACAGGAGGUCACGGCUGCUUUCAGCUGAGCAUUAGCCCCAGUGGGCUUGGCAGGAUUUUACAACAAUCAAAACUAAGCAGAUUUUUAAAAACCUCUUUUAUUUUGAGAUAGUUUUCAACUCAGAAGAGUUGAGAAAACAGCACAGAGAAUCCCCGCCCACCCAGCUUCUCCUUCUGUUCACGUGUUACCUAACCAUGGAACAGUGAUCAAAGCUGAGACACUGGCACUGGCGCAGGGCUGUCACUACAGACUUGACUCAGGUUUCCCCCACUUCCCCACUAACGUCAUCUUCGUGUUCUAGGACCCACUCCGGGUCCCGCGUUGUAUGCGGUCUUCGCCUCCCUUUGGCUUCUCACUCCUUGGCAAGUCUUUGUUUUCUCUUGUGUUUCCUGGUGUGACACCUGGGUGGAGUGCUGGUCCUGGAUUUACUGGGAAGCCCCUGAGUUAGCCUUUAGCUCGUGUGGCCUCAGGGUUAGUAAGAGGUGGUGCCUUCUGUGGCAGGCACGCUGUGGGGGCGACCUGUGCGUCUUGGUGAUCAUAUUAGGGGCACGCAUGUCAGAACAUUUCUGUAUAUUGUUUAUACAAUCUUAGGGGCAUUUUCCCUCCGCAAUGAUCAAGAAGUACUAGCUAGCUUUGCUGUGUUGAACGGCAACGCCCUGAGCCAGCCAGAGCACCUCCAGGAAAGGACCGCAGCCGUCACUGCGUGGGCACCGGGCGCUGCCCACCUCUCCUCGGGGGAGGACUGUGCCCUGGCCGCGCGGGACCCCCAGCCGCGGGCUGCAGACACCACAGCCACGGCAAGGCAGUCGCUGCGUCCCUGACCCCAGCGGGCUGCAGGCGCCCCAGGACUCCGCCGGGUCCCUGCUGGAGAUGCCGCUCGAGGCGGUGGGGUUUGCUCUCCCUUCCGCCAGAGGCCCCCUCGGCAUCCCCCGACGUCUCUGCCUCCAGCUCCACGUGCUCCUGGCAAAGACAGAGCAUCGCAGAGUCUUCCUAGCGGGCUGGAGGGGCUGCUUCUACAAGCAACAGCGGCUCCCGGGUAUGGGGCCUCGCUGGGGGCGUGGAUUCGAGCCCCCUUCCUCUGCCAGGGCCUUCCUCGGAGCUCUCUGAUUGCACCCAGACUGAACAGAGAGGAGCACCGAGGUUACAAAAUGGGGCCGCUGCCUGGAGCUCAAGGGAAGGCUGGCCCGGGCCCGCCCCGUAAGGACCGGCAAGCCGCACCUGUCUCUCCGUCGCCCUCCGGACUCGCAGGCCUUGCCCCCGCACGGCACUACCUACCCGAUUUGUUUUUGUUCU